CAGCAGCCACGGGAAUACAGAGGGUGCAAGCGUUAAUCGGAAAUACUGGGCGUAAAUCGCGCGUAGGUGGUUUGUUAAGUUGGAUGUGAAAGCCCCGGGCUCAACCUGGGAACUGCAUCCAAAACUGGCAAGCUAGAGUACGGUAGAGGGUGGUGGAAUUUCCUGUGUAGCUGUGAAAUGCGUAGAUAUAGGAAGGAACACCAGUGGCGAAGGCGACCACCUGGACUGAUACUGACACUGAGGUGCUAAAGCGUGGGGAGCAAACAGGAUUAGAUACCCCAGUAGUCCCUGUCUCUUAUAA
rnacentral:rRNA from 1 species